rnacentral:rRNA from 1 species
UACGAAGGGGGCUAGCGUUGUUCGGAAUUACUGGGCGUAAAGGGCGCGUAGGCGGUGCGGCAAGUUGGGAGUGAAAUCUCUGGGCUCAACCCAGAGACGGCUUCCAAAACUGCUGUGCUUGAGUGUGGGAGAGGCUCGUGGAAUUGCAGGUGUAGCGGUGAAAUGCGUAGAUAUCUGCAGGAACACCCGUGGCGAAAGCGGCGAGCUGGACCACUACUGACGCUGAAGAACGAAAGCUAGGGGAGCAAACAGG